rnacentral:rRNA from 2 species
UACGUAGGGGGCAAGCGUUAUCCGGAUUUACUGGGUGUAAAGGGAGCGUAGACGGUUGUGCAAGUCAGAUGUGAAAGUCCAGGGCUCAACCCUGGGACUGCAUUUGAAACUGUGCAACUAGAGUGUCGGAGAGGUAAGUGGAAUUCCUAGUGUAGCGGUGAAAUGCGUAGAUAUUAGGAGGAACACCAGUGGCGAAGGCGACUUACUGGACGAUAACUGACGUUGAGGCUCGAAAGCGUGGGGAGCAAACAGG